UGGGAAAAUCUUUCCUCUCUGCUUAAAGGAAAGUUCUUUUUAGCUCUUUUUCUCUUGUUCAAGGUGUUAGUAUUAGUCAAUAGGGUCUAAAUCUGUGGCAGCAAUCUUGCAGGCAUGAGGUGAAAAGUAGAAAGAUGAAAAACUAGCAUGUUAAAGAUGCCAGGUCAGAAAAAUGGAAAGAACCUGCUUCCGUGAGCCACUGAAUGGGUGCCAAUAACCAUACGCAUUUGAGCAUUUUCAGAAAAUAAACGUCUGUUUCUUAAAGUUCUGUAUCAGUCAGGGUUUCCCAGAGAGGCAGAACAAUAGGGAUCAAGAGAUACACAGAGAGAGAUGAGAGAGGGACGGAGAGAGACACACAGAGAGAUAUGAAAGGCGGUUAAGGGAGUUGGCUCAUGUGAUUGCGGAGGCUGAGAAAUCCCACCACAGGCCAUUCGUAACCUGGAGACCUUGGGAUGCUGGUGGUCUGGCUCAGUAUAAUUCCAAAAGCCUUGGAACCAGGGAAACUGAUGGUGUAAUUGAUGGUGUAAUUCUCAGUCCGAGGCUGAAUUCUCAAGCCUGAGAACCUGGGCGUGGGGUGGGGGAGUGAUAGUUUAAGUCCUGGAGUCCCAAGGUUAGAGAGUCUGGGGUCCUAAUGUCCAAGGGCAGUUGGAGAAGAGUGUAUCCCUGCUGCAGGGGGGAGAGAAGCCAAUUUUCCUUUCUUCUGUUUUUAUCCUACCCAGGCCUCCAGUGGAUUGGAGGUGCCUGCCCAUAUUGACGGCAGAUCUUCUCUGCCUAGUCCACUCUAACUCACAUGCCAGUCGCCUCUGAAAACACCUUCACAGACACACCCCAAAACAAUGCCUUACCAGUUCUCUAGAUAUUCCUUAAUCCAGUCAAGUUGACACCUAAAAUUAAUCAUCACAGCCUUUAUGGCUUUAUUAGCCAAGAAUUCUGUUACUUUCAGCUGAAAACAUUUCUAAUAGACAUAUUCCAAUUCUGUAUAGAUCAGACCUGAGUUUCAUUUCCCAUUAUAUCCUUCUCUCUCUUGAUUUAGAAUUCUCUUUUUCUCCACUCCGCUAUUUUCUGUAUUCAGUAUUCUAAAAUACUGUCAAUCUCAUCUUUGAAGGUUUUGCUCAUCUUUAAAACUUCUUAGUUGAUUAUGUUUUAUGUGUUGUUUAAUUAAGGAAUGAAUUUACUUAUUUUUAUUUCAGUAGCUUUUGGGGUACAGGUGGGUUUUGGUUGCAUGGAUGAAUUGUAUAGUGGUGAAGUCUGAGAUUUGAGUGCACCUGUCACCAGAAUAGUGUGCACUGUACCCAAUAUAUAGUUUUUAUUCCUCCCCCUUCUGAGUCUCCAUGGUCCAUUAUAUCACUCUGUAUACCCUUGUGUAUCUACAGCUUAGCUUUCACUUACAAUUGAGAACAUGCAGUAUUUGGUUAUCCAUUCCUGAGUUACUUUACUUAGAAUAAUGGCCUCCAGCUCCAUUCAAGAUGCUGCAAAAGACAUUAUUUCAUCUUUUCUUUUUUAUGGCUGAGUAGUAUUCCAUGGUGCAUAUAUACCACAUUUUCUUUAUCCACUUAUUGGUCAGUGGGCACUUUGGUUGAUUCCAUAUCUUUGCAAUUGUGAACUGUGUUACGAUAAAAAUAUGCGUAUGAGUGUCUUUUUUGGUAGAUCUCCUUUUAGUUCUUUAAGACACCUCCAUACUGUUGUCUAUAGAGGUUGCACUAAUUUACAUUCCCACCAGCAGUGUAUAAGUGAGACAGGGUCUCUGUCACCCAGGUUGGAGUGCAGUGGCAUGAUCAUGGCUCACUGCAACCUUGACGUCCCAGGCUUAAGUAAUCCUUCCACCUAAGCUUCCCUAGUAGCUGGGACUACAGGCACAUGCCACCAUGUCUGACUAAUUUUUGUUUUUGUUUUUUGUAGAGACAGGAGGCUCACUGUGUUGCCUAGGCUGGUCUUGAACUGUUGGGAUCAAGCAGUCCUCCAUCCAAAGCCUCCCAAAGUGCUCCAAUUAUAGGCAUAAGCCACUGUGCCUGGCGUAAUAAGUGUCAUUUUUAAAACAUCAGUUUAUUAACUACAUAGAAAUAAAUCUAAAAAGAUUCUGCCAAAAAAAAAAAAAAACAAAAA
ensembl:lncRNA